rnacentral:rRNA from 1 species
UACGAAGGGGGCUAGCGUUGCUCGGAAUCACUGGGCGUAAAAGGGUGCGUAGGCGGGUCUUUUAAGUCAGGGGUGAAAUCCUGGAGCUCAACUCCAGAACUGCCUUUGAUACUGAAGAUCUUGAGUUCGGGAGAGGUGAGUGGAACUGCGAGUGUAGAGGUGAAAUUCGUAGAUAUUCGCAAGAACACCAGUGGCGAAGGCGGCUCACUGGCCCGGUACUGACGCUGAGGUGCGAAAGCGUGGGGGAGCAAACAGG